rnacentral:rRNA from 1 species
ACUCAAAUGAAUUGACGGGGGCCCGCACAAGCGGUGGAGGAUGUGGUUUAAUUCGACGCAACGCGAAGAACCUUACCAAGGCUUGACAUCUACCGAAUCUGUUAGAAAUAGCGGAGUGCCCGAAAGGGAACGGUAAGACAGGUGGUGCAUGGCUGUCGUCAGCUCGUGUCGUGAGAUGUUGGGUUAAGUCCCGCAACGAGCGCAACCCUCGAUGCUAGUUACCAUCAUUAAGUUGGGGACUCUAGCGUGACUGCCGGUGAUAAGCCGGAGGAAGGUGAGGACGACGUCAAGUCAUCAUGCCCCUUACGUCUUGGGCUACACACGUCCUACAAUGGCAUAGACAAAGGGCUGCAAGCCAGCGAUGGUGAGCGAAUCCCAUAAACUAUGUCUCAGUUCGGAUUGCAGGCUGCAACUCGCCUGCAUGAAGUUGGAAUCGCUAGUAACCGUAGAUCAGCACGCUACGGUGAAUACGUUCCCGGGCCUUGCACACACCGCCCGU